rnacentral:rRNA from 1 species
GAUGAACGCUGGCGGCGUGCCUAAUACAUGCAAGUCGAGCGAACAGACGAGGAGCUUGCUCCUUUGACGUUAGCGGCGGACGGGUGAGUAACACGUGGGUAACCUACCUCUAAGACUGGGAUAACUUCGGGAAACCGGAGCUAAUACCGGAUAAUAUUUCGAACCGCAUGGUUCGAUAGUGAAAGAUGGCUCUGCUAUCACUUAUAGAUGGACCUGCGCCGUAUUAGCUAGUUGGUAAGGUAACGGCUUACCAAGGCAACGAUACGUAGCCGACCUGAGAGGGUGAUCGGCCACACUGGAACUGAGACACGGUCCAGACUCCUACGGGAGGCAGCAGUAGGGAAUCUUCCGCAAUGGGCGAAAGCCUGACGGAGCAACGCCGCGUGAGUGAUGAAGGUCUUCGGAUCGUAAAACUCUGUUAUUAGGGAAGAACAAACGUGUAAGUAACUGUGCACGUCUUGACGGUACCUAAUCAGAAAGCCACGGCUAACUACGUG